rnacentral:lncRNA from 1 species
GUGGGAGAAGUCGCCGCCCGCGUCUGUCCAAACUUAGUCCCAAACUCAGGAGGUUCCUGUCCCAAGAAGCAAUGUAAAGUUUGAACCGCGCCCUGCCUAUAUUAGGUUUUUAAAUAGCAGGAGGCAAAGCUUUUCGGUGUGAUCCUGACUUCACUUGGGGAAAAAGGGCAGACACAGGGUCUCACUGUGUUGGCCAGGCUGGAGUGCGGCAGUCUGGAACUCCUGGGCCCAAGUGAUCCUCCAAUCAGCCUCACAAAGCACUGGAAUUACAGAUGGAGUUUUGCUCUUGUUGCCCAGGCUGGAGUACAAUGGCGCAAUCUCGGCUCACUGCAACCUCCGCCUCCGGGUUCAAGUGAUUCUCCUGCCUCAGCCUCCUGAGUAGCUGGGAUUACAGGAGCCUACUACCACGGCCAGCUAAUUUUUUUGUAUUUUUAGUAGAGACGGGGCUUUACCAUGUUGGCCAGGCUGGUUUCAAACUCCUGACCUCAGGUGAUCCACCCGCCUCGGCCUCCCAAACUGCUGGGAUUAUAGGCAUGAGCCACCGUGCCCGGCCCAUAGAUUACUUUUAUAAUCAAGUUUUUCUUUACUUUUUAAAGAGUAAAUUCUCUCACCUCAGGUAGCUCAGAGAGCUGCGCUGGAGGAGAAAAGCCAGUCCUGGCAGGAGCUCUGGUACCUGGGAAGCUGGAUGGAGAGCCUGGGCCAGAAUCCCGGACCCCUCACCUCUGCGGCCUAGCUUUGUGACCUUGGCAAAUCCAUUCUAUGCACCUCCAUUUCCUGUACAGUGGGGAUCCUUAUUUCUCUGGCACAGAUUGGUAUUUGUUCUGUAAAGCCCAGUACCACUU